GUGCAGUAGGCAUUCAGCUUCAUUUAGACCCAUAUUAAUUUAUUUAGUAUAACAAGACUAUCAAAAGAAAGAAACUAGGUAAAAUAAGAUAUCCACCUCUGAAAACACAGAACCCCAGAAACAGUUUCAUCUAGAGAACCAGAACACCUAUUGCAGUGAACAAUCUGCUCUGGCUGGGAGACAGAGAUGCAAAAUUCCUGUUAGAUCAUCUAGGAUACAUUUUCAUUCUAGGGAGCCCGGCAGCCAGGGAGACCGCAGGAUGAGGGAGUAGACCAGGCCGGGCCGGUGGUUCUACAGCAGCUGAGACCGGAGUCGCCGUCCGUGCCUGAGCCGCCAACCCCAGGGAGGCAGGAGCACCCGCAACCCCGGCAAGUACUGACUCAGAGGCGAAUGGGCCCCAGGGGAACCAGGGCGUG